CUCCCGGCACGGGGAGGUAGUGACGAAAAAUAACGAUACGGGACUCAUCCGAGGCCCCGUGAUCGGAAUGAGCACACUUUAAAUCCUUUAACGAGGAUCAAUUGGAGGGCAAGUCUGGUGCCAGCAGCCGCGGUAAUUCCAGCUCCAAUAGCGUAUAUUAAAGUUGCUGCGGUUAGAAAGCUCGUAGUCGAAGUUGUGUCCUCGGCCGCCGGUUCGUCGCUCGCGACGCCAACUGGCGCGCACGUUGGACGUCCAGCCGGUACAACGAACUCGCCUACGGGGUGCUCUUAACCGAGUGUCUAGGCGGGGGCCGGCAACGUUACUUUGAACAAAUUAAAGUGCUUAAAGCAGGCUAAAUUGCGCUCGCAUACACGCGCAUGGAAUAAUCGAAUAGGACCUCCGUUCUAUUUUGUUGGGUUUUUGUGGAACGACAGACGGAGGUAAUGAUCAAUGGGUGCGGAUGGGGGCAUUCGUAUUGCGACGUUAGAGGUGAAAUUCUUGGAUCGUCGCAAGACGGACUUGAGCGAAAGCAUUUGCCAAAAACGCUUUCAUCGAUCAAGAACGAAAGUUAGAGGUUCGAAGGCGAUCAGAUACCGCCCUAGUUCUAACCAUAAACUAUGCCAGCUAGCGAUCCGCCGAAGUUACUUCUAUGACUCGGCGGGCAGCUUCCGGGAAACCAAAGCUUUCGGGUUCCGGGGGAAGUAUGGUUGCAAAGCUGAAACUUAAAGGAAUUGACGGAAGGGCACCACCAGGAGUGGAGCCUGCGGCUUAAUUUGACUCAACACGGGAAACCUCACCAGGCCCGGACACCGGAAGGAUUGACAGAUUGAGAGCUCUUUCUUGAUUCGGUGGGUGGUGGUGCAUGGCCGU
rnacentral:rRNA from 1 species